CCUACGGGUGGCAGCAGUGGGGAAUAUUGGUCAAUGGACGAGAGUCUGAACCAGCCAAGUAGCGUGAAGGAUGACUGCCCUAUGGGUUGUAAACUUCUUUUAUAAAGGAGUAAAUCGAGUCACUUGUGCCUUUUUGCAUGUACUUUAUGAAUAAGGAUCGGCUAACUCCGUUCCAGCAGCCGCGGUAAUACGGAGGAGCCGAGCGUUGUCCGGAUUUUAUGGGGUUAAAGGGAGCGUAGCUGGGUUGUUAAGUCAGUUGUGAAAGUUUCGGGCUCAACCGGAAAAUUGCAAUUGAUACUGGGAGGCUUGGGUAAAGGUGGGGGAAGCGGAAUUCCGGGUGUAGCAGUGAAAUGCUUAGAUAACCAGAGGAACACCCGUUGCGAAGGCGGGUUCCUGAACGUUGACUGACGAUGAGGCACGAAAGCGUGGGGAGCAAAAAGGAUUAGAUACCCCUGUAGUC
rnacentral:rRNA from 1 species